UCGGAGGUCAGCGGCGGACGGGUGAGUAACACGUGGGCAACCUGCCUGUAAGACUGGGAUAACUCCGGGAAACCGGAGCUAAUACCGGAUAGUAUCUUGAACCGCAUGGUUCAAGUUGGAAAGACGGUUUCGGCUGUCACUUACAGAUGGGCCCGCGGCGCAUUAGCUAGUUGGUGAGGUAAUGGCUCACCAAGGCAACGAUGCGUAGCCGACCUGAGAGGGUGAUCGGCCACACUGGGACUGAGACACGGCCCAGACUCCUACGGGAGGCAGCAGUAGGGAAUCUUCCGCAAUGGACGAAAGUCUGACGGAGCAACGCCGCGUGAGUGAUGAAGGUUUUCGGAUCGUAAAACUCUGUUGUUAGGGAAGAACAAGUGCGAGAGUAACUGCUCGCACCUUGACGGUACCUAACCAGAAAGCCACGGCUAACUACGUGCCAGCAGCCGCGGUAAUACGUAGGUGGCAAGCGUUGUCCGGAAUUAUUGGGCGUAAAGCGCGCGCAGGCGGUUUCUUAAGUCUGAUGUGAAAGCCCCCGGCUCAACCGGGGAGGGUCAUUGGAAACUGGGAAACUUGAGUGCAGAAGAGGAGAGUGGAAUUCCACGUGUAGCGGUGAAAUGCGUAGAGAUGUGGAGGAACACCAGUGGCGAAGGCGACUCUCUGGUCUGUAACUGACGCUGAGGCGCGAAAGCGUGGGGAGCGAACAGGAUUAGAUACCCUGGUAGUCCACGCCGUAAACGAUGAGUGCUAAGUGUUAGAGGGUUUCCGCCCUUUAGUGCUGCAGCUAACGCAUUAAGCACUCCGCCUGGGGAGUACGGUCGCAAGACUGAAACUCAAAGGAAUUGACGGGGGCCCGCACAAGCGGUGGAGCAUGUGGUUUAAUUCGAAGCAACGCGAAGAACCUUACCAGGUCUUGACAUCCUUUGCCACUUCUAGAGAUAGAAGGUUCCCCUUCGGGGGACAAAGUGACAGGUGGUGCAUGGUUGUCGUCAGCUCGUGUCGUGAGAUGUUGGGUUAAGUCCCGCAACGAGCGCAACCCUUGAUCUUAGUUGCCAGCAUUCAGUUGGGCACUCUAAGGUGACUGCCGGUGACAACCCGGAGGAAGGUGGGGAUGACGUCAAAUCAUCAUGCCCCUUAUGACC
rnacentral:rRNA from 2 species